GGGGCAUACACCCCUCCAAUCCAAUUGGGGCAUACACCCCUCCAAUGAGUCCGAGGACUCUCCAAUCUUCAUCUUCUAGGGGCUUCUGAUCAUAUGGCCGCCCGGUGGUGUGCCAUGCACACCACCGGGAGGCACCAAGGCACACAAGGUCGGUCUUCUACGGAGGAGGAGCGGUUUCUCUCUUCUUUCUUGGAUCUUUGAUUGGAAUCUUCAAUUCGGA
rnacentral:misc_RNA from 1 species